CUUAUUGGCUCAAUGUUAUGGAGGAAGUUGGAUGCAUGAAGCUGGUUGACGCUCAGAGGUUCCCACUUCUUCAUCGAUGGGCAGAAGACUUCAUCGAAACUCCAGUGAUCAAAGAAUGCCUUCCACCUAGACAAAAAACGGUUGAGUACUUCACUGCUAGCAUCAAUUACCUGCGUUCCUUGGCAACAAGCAAGCAAUAAAUUCAUUUUCCAUUCGAGCUUUUCUCCAUGGCCAAGAAAUAAAUGGAGAUAUCUCCUAUUUUGAACCCAAAAAAAAUUAUAAAAAAAAAUAAAUAAGUAAAUAAUUGGGAGAUGUUUUUGUUUUCAGUUGUGUUUGAAAGUAAGUUUUUCAAUAUGUCAUCUAUGGCUACCGGAUUGGGGUGAACCCCUGUUUGAUGUAUCCAAUAGAGUUGCCAUUUAGUGCAUUCAGUUCAUAAAAUCGUGUUGUUGCUGAUUUUAGUUUUUAAGUUAGAUCCCUUACUAUUACUUCAUCGCAGAAGAACCAUUUUUGAUUCAGUAUUUUCUUGAGUAGCAUUUUACUUUGAGCCUAGGAAACAGAGGAUGCAGAAAAUAAAUGCAAUAUAGACUAGUUUUUUUUUUUUUUCUGGAAAAUGAAAUUAGAAAAAAAAAAAAAAACAUUUGUAAUAGAAGUUCAUUCUCUGAGAUCAAUGUCACCGGCACCAAAAUGCUGUUCCUCCGCUACUGCCUCAAGGCUCUCGCAACUGCUAUUUCCUCAUCAAUAUAAAACCAGACAAAGAAGGGAUCCUUGGUGAUUGGUGCGAGAAUUGGUGGAAAGUUCACCAAGUCAUUAACAUAAUUUUAAUAAAAACUAAAACUGAAGUGAAUGUGGGUGAAAGUUCAAUCCAGCUAAACCGAGGUCCACGGAAAUGAAGUCACUGUCUUGUGCUUACCAAUGACACCUUCCUAGCUCCGAAUGGUGAUUUGCACAAAAAGAUAAGAGACAGAAUUGCUCUCUACCUCAAAAACUAAAAUUAUGAAAUUUAAUGGGCUGGCCUCAUAUACAUAGAAGUGAAAGUAAGGAUCUUCCUUAAUAUGUUAAUCAAAAUUGACCUAUCCCAUUAGAGGUUCAAAUAAAGAAUUAUAUCAAGCUCACACUUAACAAAUAUCAUAUUACCAUUUUGGGUAUAUUAGAACAUGAUGCCACAACAAUUACUCAUUUAUUGACAUCAAUUACAAUAAUCCAAUAUAUAAUGACUUUGUUAGUCCACUAAUAAGAGAUAAAUACAACAAUUUCUCACUUGGACAACACAAAUCAUUAAAAGUGAAUUCUAAUUAACAUAAUGGCUAUAAACAGAAAAUGUCAAUAUGAGUAUAUACCAAAAUCUUCACACAACAAAAUGAGCAUUUAUAAGCCCCAGAAUACAUUGUAUCGACUAGGUAUAAAUGUGUGGACUUACAUGCCCUCUACAAUAAGAAAGCAUUUAUAAAUCUCAAAAUGCACUGUAUCGACAAGAUACAUGUAUAUAGACUUAUGAAUACUUAAACAAUAGCAACAAGCAUUUAUGAGUUUCAAAAUGCACUGUGCCGACAAGGUACGUGCACAUAGACUCAUAAACACUUCAAAAAACAUAGUAUGAUAGUGUGAAAUGGAAAUGAAAUGAAAACAUAAUUGAUAUCCAUUUUCAUUAGGUUCAUGUAUCUAUACCAUAUGAUGCUGCUUUGAAAGAAACACAUGAGAUUAAUCCUAAAUGUUUCACCCAAUGGAAUACCAAAUUUAAGAGAAUGUGCACAAACAGAAUAAAUAUAUGGCAAAUAGGAAUCCAUCCAUAUAGUUGCAACUAAUUUUAUUUAGGACUGAGCAUUAUUGGGUUUAAACUUAAUAACUGAAUAAAACCACUAAAAAAAGUAAAUUAGGUCAAUUUUGGCAAUCGAUUUUCAAGUUUGAAUUUCUAGACCAAAAUUGAUAAAAAAAAUCGAUAUAAAUUAUAUAUUUAAAAUAAAUAAAAUAGGUUUUACAAUUAAAUGUUGAGAAUAUUGACUCAAAUCCCAUAAGAGAUUUGUUUGAGAUUUGUUUGAAAUUUGUUAGAUAUUGCUUGAUGGACAAGAAGACUUGCAAAAGAAGAAUUCUAAAUGAAAUAGGAUUCUUAAUAGGUAAAUUUGACUUAUAAGAGAAGAAUUCUAAGGGGAAAGGGAUUCCUAAUAGGCAAGUUUGACUUACAGGAGAAGAAUUCUAAGAGGAAAGGGAUUCUUAAUGGGCAAGUUUGUAUGCUUAUAAAUAGGUGAAGUCUCUACAAGGUUAGGUAUGAGAAAAAGAUGUAUGAGAGUUAUAGGAUUUUGUGAGAUAGACACCCCAUAGGAGUAUUGGGGCUCUACGUCUUAUGGUGUGUAUGUUUGUUUGUGAGUGGACUAGAGGAGACUGAGAGGGUCCACAUAGGUAUGAUGUAUGGGAGCAUAUGGGUAUGUGUUUGGUUAUGUUGAAAGGUUGCAUAAGGGUUUGAGUUUGUGUUUGUUUGAGUUGAGAAUACUCUAUAGGAUUAAAAGAGAUUGAGAGUAUCUUAUGAGUAUUGAUUGUUGAGUGAAGUUACUGAUUUGAUGUAUGUUUGUAAUUCUCUAUAACUAGUGGAUCUUGUUUCUCAUCCAUGGACGUAAAAUGAUUGGAUCGAACCAUGUUAAAUUAUUAUCUCUUGUGUAUUUGAUUUAUUGUUUGAUUUCGCUUCCACUGGUGUCAUUGGAUUGGAGGCUUUUAGCCUAACAAAUGGUAUCAAAGCUAUGGUGUUCCCCAACAAGUGGUAUCAGAGCUGAAAGUUCGAAAUGUGGGAAAAGUCAAAUGUUUGAGAUGUGGGAAAAAUCGAUGGUUCGAGAUAUGAAAAAGUUGAUAGUUCGAGAUAUGAGAAGAGCUUGGUUUAAGACAUGGAAAGAAGUAAGCUUAGAGGAGCUCGAUUCAAGAGAAGAGUUCGAGUUCAAGUUUUGAGGAUUGAAGAUCAAUUUGUAUGAAGUGUGAAGACACACAAAAAAAGAUGAUUGUGAGACUUUCAUUGUAGGUGGAGCCAAGCAUGUCUAGUAUGAAGACAGAUGAUUGAUGAAAUUUGAGUCAAGGUGGAAAUUAUUAGGAAUAUUGACUCAAAUCCCAUAAGAGAUUUGUUUGAGAUUUGUUUGAAAUUUGUUAGAUAUUGCUUGAUGUACAAUAAGACUUACAACAGAAGAAUUCUAAAAGAAAGAAGAUUCUUUAUAGGUAAGUUUCACUUACAAGAGAAGAAUUUUAAGAGAAAAUGGAUUCUUAAUAGGCAAGUUUGUCUUACAUGAGAAGAAUUUUAAGAGGAAAGAGAUUUUUAAUGGGCAAGUUUGUAUGGUUAUAAAUAGGUGAAGUCUUUACAGGAUUAGGUAUGAGAAAAAUAUGUAAGAGAGUUAUAGGGUUUUGUGAGAUAGACAUCCAUAGGAGUAUUGGAGCUCUACGUCUUAUGGGUGUGUAUAUUUGUUUAUGAGUGGACUAGAAGAGACUGAGAGGAUCCACAUAGGUAUGAUGUAUAGGAGCAUAUGGGUAUGUGUUUGGUUAUGUUGAAAGGGUGAAUAAGGGUUUGGGUUUGUGUUUGUUUAAGUUGAGAAUACUCUAUAGGAUUAGAAGAGAUUGAAAGUGUCUUAUGAGUAGUGAUUGUUGAGUGAGGUUGAUGAUUUGAUAUAUAUUUGUAAUUCUCCACAACUAGUGGAUCUUGUUUCUUUUCCAUGGACGUAGGUUGAUUGGACCGAACCACAUUAAAUUGUUAUCUUUUGUGUGUUUGAUUUAUUGUUUGAUUUCACUUUCGCUGGUGUGAUUGGAUUGGAAGCUUUUAGCCCAACACCAAAAACCCCUAGUUUUUAAAUUUUCUAAGUCCUAGCUACUCUAAUCUCUUCCCUCACAUUUUCUCUGCCUACCGCUCUUGACCUAUUCUCUCCUCACACUAGACUUCACUAGACCACAGUUCUCUCACUUCACUAGACUACUCUUUCUUUCUCUUCUUUUUCUUUCUUUCUAUCUUUCUUUCAUUCCUUCUCUUUUCUAUUUCCUAAAUCAACAUCUCUCACUACAAAAAAGUAAUAAUAAAAAUAUAUAUGCUACAUUUUCAAAAUGACUCAUAUUAAAAAAUAAAAUUACAUUAAUGCCCUUAAAUAAGUGAUAAAUAACAUUUUAGUAUAUUAACUAAACAAAAUACCGUUAAUAAAGACAAAAGACUAAAAUGGCCUUAACAUCUUUAAAUUUCCAUCCCCAUCUCAUCUCCUUAUAGGUAAGAUCAAUAUACUUAUAAAUAAAUAAUUAUUUUUAAGUAUUAGUAAAAUGUCAUAAUUGAAAUUUAAUAAAAAUUAAAAAGAUAGCUUACUCUUUACAAAAAAUUUACUAACAUUUAGCAUUAUUUACAUAUUUAAAAUUAUUGUCAUAACAUCUAGAUCCGAGGAUCCAUCGCUAGACAUUGACUUAAGGAGUCGCAACCAAUCUUUUUUUAUCUAGGCACGAUUAGUUACCUAAGGAAUCUGCCUUUUAGGGAACACCGAAGUUUAAGAGUCCCUAAAAGAAUAGGUUCAGGUCUACUAACCAGAAUAGGGUUCGAGAGUCGGUUACAGAGUUUAUAGUAUGUACUUGAAAUGGUAGCUUAUUUUUAUAACAAUUAAGCUUAAAAUUUAUCAAUAUUAAUUAAUUGAAAUUAUUCUAAUGACUCUAAUAUUUAGCAAAAAAUUAGAAAAUCUUUCAUCAAUAGUAUGUAGAAAAAUUUUCCUGCAGAGGAUCGUAGAUUUUAUCAUAAUAAAAUCAAUACAAAUAAAAGAAAAGAAGUAAAUGAUUGCUUUUGACAUAGGAAAUGUGUUUCUACUCUUUUCUAAAAAUAGUUUUUUAAUCAGACUUUUCUAAAUAUUUUAGAAAACUUAAUAAUCAAUUGAUACUGCUAAAUAUUUUUUCUAAAAAUAUUAUUUUUAAAAAAACUUAUUUUCAAAUAUCAAUAUUUUCAUUCUUUAAAUAUUUUUACAUAGAUUUUAUUUUCAAGAUGAAUAAUACUUUUAACAUUUUCUCAAAAAUAUUUUCUAGAAAUUUUAUUUUCAAGGAAAAUUGAUACUUUCAACUUUUCCUCAAAAAUAUUUUUUAAAAAAUUUAUUUUUUAAAAAAAUUGAUACUUUUAACUUUUUCUCAAAAAUAUUUUUUAAAAAUUUUAUUUUCAAAGAAAAUUAAUACUUUCAACUUUUCCUCAAAAAAUAUUUUUUAAAUCUUUUUAUCUUCAAGGGUCAUUUAAAAAAUGCUCGACAAAUCAAAAUUUCCUAUGAAACAGUUUAAACUUACUUGGUGUCUAACACGAGAACAAAUGAACAGCUUCCUGCAUCAUAUUUGCUUACGAGAUGGUGACGGAUUUAGGUGCAUCGAUUCUUGGCCCUUUGCUCCCUUUUGGUUUGUUACAUUGCCUGACUGGUUUUUCUUCUUUCACUUUCUAGUUAGCGCUCUAUCCCACAGCUUCUACCAGUGCUUGAUAGAGGACUGGUUAUACAAACACCAAGAUCGAGAAACAUCUAAUCGGGAAGUUAAGAAAUAUCCUCCCUUGUUCGAGGCAAGAAAAGAGGUGCCGGUAGUAAACAAAGGCAGGAAAGUUAUCCUAAUCAAACUAGCCGGUAACAAGAUCGAAAUACAUAUAUAAUGUUCUAAUAGAAUCACCCAUCUCUUUCUCAACAGCAAACCUAGUCACUUCAACCACUAGGUGAGGCGUAGCAUGGAUAAUCUCUUGGCAACCUUUCAAUACUGUUAUCGUUGAAGCUGCUCUAUCUGUAAUCAAGUUGCUUGAAUGCAGUGCCAAAGCACUCAAAGCAUCAGCAGCUGCUUUCGCGUUGUGUUACUAUUUUCUGUUGGUUGGUUUGUAUUGCUUGAUGAAGGAAGUGCCUCAUCUUCAUUCUUUUCUUUCUGGUGCACGAAAGGAAGGGCUAAACCUUUUUCUUGGUUAAAAGUGAUCUAUUUUCUUCAGAGUUCCUUCAGAGUGGGAGAUUUUACCUUUAAAGUUUUGAGCUAGAAGUAGUCAUCUUACUCGCCUUCGAUGCUCUAUAGAUCUUCAAUACAAAUCGAGUCUUUAACUGAGACCAACCAAUUGCUAGAUUCAAAUGGAAACCAGGGUCCAUCCAGACUAGAUAAUCAGCCUCUUCAUCUGACUCUUAAAAGUUGGAUUUUUUUAUUGAAUGAGGGAAGAUAGCAAUCACCUAGACUGUACCGCUUUAAGUAGCAUCUUCAGCGAGUAUGUUAUCGGCUUUCAUAAAGUAGCCCACGCCUUCUCAAUACUACUCUAGGCGGUAAAGUUGCUAACAGAAGACUGAACACCGUUUGACACUACCUUUUUCUCUCUCCUAUUCGGAUUCCUAUUCUAUAUAUUUCUUUCUCUUUGUUAUUGUUGCUUUAUUGCUGUUUAUAGGAUCAAAUUAAAAGAAUUUUUGAUCAGAUCAAAGUCUUUAUUUGACUGGGUUAUCAAAAACUUAAGACUCAAUCCUACCUCAUAUUAAAACCUAUAGUAACUCUACAACCUCCAAUUUUGGACCAAAGAUAUAUUUUUUUAUUUUUUAUCACUAAAUCUUGUUAAACUAAUAAUAAAUCUAAUAAAACAAAUAAAUCAACUAAAAAAAUAAAAUAAAAAUAAAAAUAAAAAAAUAAAAAUAAAAACCAAUUGGGCCUACUAGUUGGAUCAUAAAUCGGGUCCAAUAGGCUUAAACCUAAACCCUAUUGGACUAGGUCUAAUGGGUUUGGGUCCGGACUAAAUAAGGUGUCUACAGCUACCCCUCUUUACAUAUUUUCUGUGAAACAGAAAUUGUGCAAAGAUGUAGACACCCAUUCAAGACUCAACUUGACACUUUUUUUUGUUUUUGUUUUUUAUUUUUUUUUGUUUUGUUUUGUUUUUUUUUGGUUUGUUAAAAUUUUGAUCAAAGCUCCUCUAAGCAGAGGCUUAACGACUAUGAGAAACAUAAACAAGGCUCCUCUAAUCAGAGGCUCAACGAUUACGACUUUAGAAAAAUAAAUGGCUCCUAUAAUAAGAGGCUCAACGACUUUAGAAAAAUAAAUUACUUCUCUAAACAGAGGCUCAAAGACUUUGAAAAAUAAACGGCUCCUCUAAUCAGAGGCUCAACGACUUUAAAAAAUAAAUGGCUCCUCUAAUCAGAGGCUCAACGAUUUUAAAAAAAUAAAUUGCUCCUCCAAACAGAGGUAACUAUGACUUUGAAAAAAUAAAUGGCUCCUCUGAUCAGAGGCACCACAACUUUCUCCUCUACAUAGAGGCAUCACAACUUUGAAAAGUAAAUUGCUCCUCUAAACAGAGGUAACAGAACUUUGAAAAGUAAAUUGCUCCUUGACAAUCAUGUCCAAAGGAGUUAUAAAUCAUGAUUGAAGGAAUUUUGUAAUGGAAACUCAAAGAUUCACAAUUUGAGUUCAACAUUCAGAGGUUCAGAUUCGCAAAAACCUUCCAACUUCGAAAGAAUUUAUUAAAAUUUGAUUCUCAAAAGUUCAGUUUCAUUCAAAUUUGUAAGAUCUCAAGAUUUACAUUUGUAACUUGCAAGACUCACAUUAAAGAUCCUCAUUUGAAUUUUGAAGGUUCACAUAAAAAAAUUCAAGGCUUUUUAAAGGUUCGCAUUUGGUAAGCUUGGGAUUCACAUCCAAAAAUUCAAAGCUUCUUAUUUGAAUUCAAAGGUUCAGCAAUAAAACUUAGAGUUUCACAUCUAAGUUCAAAGGUUCUCAUUUAAAAAUUUAGAGAUUCAUAUCUAAAAAGUUGAAGCUUUGUAUUUUGAAGAUCAUAUCCAAAAGUUUAAAACUUUUCAUUCUAGUUCGAAGAUUCACAUUCGAUGAACUUUAGGGUUUCACUCCUCAAAGAUUCUCAUUUUGAAACUCAAAGAUUCUCAUUUGAGUUUUAAAAAAUUCUCAUAAAAACAUUCACAAUUUCUUUUUCAAGUGACUUAAAAAUUUGCAUAAAUGAAUGUUAUGACCAAAGAUGUAAAUGCCUUCUUAAUGAUACAAAUGCGACAACCUAUAUUUUCAUAGUGCCAUGCAUGUCCAAACAAAGUUUAAUUAAUCAAAUUAUGUGUAUGUACUAUUCAAGCAAUGAUGCCACCAUGAUGCAUGUAAUGCAAACAUCUAUGUCAUAAAAUUUUAAAUAAUUAUGGUAAUAUGGCUCUUAAAACUCCAUCAUUUCGUAUGUCUUCCUUGUUUAGUUUCUCAACAUUUUGGAACAAGCUUCAUCAAUUGAUCAUCAUUGUUUCCAUUACUUGAUCACCAUCCGGAGGUUUCUCAGCACCAACAAAUUUUACCUAUUACCCCACGUGCCAGGCUUAUCAGCAUUAACCAUUUCAAAUAAAUUUAAUCUUUGUCACUUGAUCAUCGUUCAUAAGCUUUUCAAUACUAGCCAUUUCAAAACAAAUUUCAUCAUCUGUCACUUGGUCAUCGUUCAUAAGUGGUCAUCGUUCAUAAGCUUCUCAAUACUAGCUAUUUCAAAACAAAUUUCAUCAUCUGUCACUUGGUCAUCUUUCAUAAGCUUCUCAGUACCAGUCAUUUCAAAACAAAUUUCAUCAUCUGUCAUUUGGUCAUCGUUCAUAAGCUUCUCAGCACCAGUUUCGUCUAUGGCCCCAUAUCAUUUUCGUCAGUUAAUCAUAACUCAUAGGUUAUAUCGAUCAAUACAUCUUCAUAUUCAUCACUUGAUUAUACUACUUUUCAAAAUUUACCUCAUCUUCAUUUUUUUGUCCAAUCCAUCAUCACAUUCUCUAUUUGGUCACAUCAUAUGUCCUUCCAAAUCAUCUCUUUUAGGUUUUUACCAAUUUUUCAUUUUGUUACCACCAUCAUCUUAGAUUUUUUUUUAAAAGAAUACAAGACUUUUUUAUGUACAUUGUCAUUCAUUAAUCAUCAUUUUAAUUCUUAACAAAUAUAAUGCACUCAUACAUUUUCUUAAUUUAUUCUAAGGAUGUAACAAUAAGAGAACACAAGGUGAAUUAUGGUAAAGAUAAUCAAUAAAGAUCUAUUUUGGUACAAAAUAAAUGGCAAAAGAAAUAAAUUGGAUACAUGUCAUUGGGAUGAAUGGUAGUCUAAAUGAUAAAUAUUCAGACAAUUCUGAACAUUAAUUUACGAUUCUUUUUCAAAAACUCAUUCCAUUUACUGUUGACGUCAUUUUGAGCAUGGUAAACUUUGCCUCAGUCUUUAAGGGAUCUUCAGAUGUCUUUGUUCUUCCAUCCAUAUAAACCAUUUGACCUAGAUCUUUUUCUAUCCAAAUCACCUUUUCAGGUUUUCAAUUUGAAUCUUUUUUUUUCAUUUUCUCAUUUUUUCUUCUUUUUCCUCUAUUGUUUUAUUUUUUUAUUUUUUCAUCAUUUUUUUUCUUUUUUUUUCUCAUUUUUCAUCCAUUGUUGAUAUCUUUCACACAUCAAACUUUAGAGCAAUGUAGCAUGAUUUCAUUAUUUCAUCAUGAGCAUGCCUUUGCCCAAUAUAUGAUCAUUCAAUUUGAGCAUUCACACUUAUUCCAAAUAGACUUUUUAAGGUUGUAAUGUAGGUCAAGGUGAGAGGUAAUAAAAGAAAUGGAUAUAAUAGGCUCAAAACAUGUAUUAAAAAAGUUCAAGACCAAAAGAUCAUUUGAUACAAUUUAGCAUUUUACCCCCACAUCAUUUCACUACUUUUUCUUUCCUCACACAAAAGAUUCUUAUUAUUUUACCCCAAAUCAUGUGUGGUAUUUUUUUUUUUUGCUUUUCUUUCUUUUUGCAUCUUUGAGACCUUUUGUGAUAUUUUUUCAAAAAUUGUCCCCCAAUGUAGAGGGUGAUCUUUGGUUGGGAUUCUUUAGAAAAAAAAAAUCAUAAUAGGUUCAAAGGGGUAGCAAUAAAUGGUUUUUCGAAUGGUAAAAGAAAAAUGGCCAUUUUUCAUCUCAAUUGUGAAUACUUUUCUUGAACAUCAUCUAUUGAACAAAGCUCAUGAACUUGUAUAAAAGGUUACACAUCUUCAAGACAUAUCUAUUUCACCUCUGAUAAUAGCUUACUUUUUUGUUCAAAUCAUCUCUUCAUAUUAAUGUGGAUGAGUUCUCAAAAUUAAAUAUCAGAAUUAUUGUUAUUAUUGUCUAAAUAUUCAUCAUUUAAAAUUUGAGAAUGGGAAUAUAAAUUUAUGAAAGGUAACAGAGCAUGGAAUAAUGGUCGAGUGAAAGAAAAAAUGUAAUGAAAUGCAUUAACUUGCUUUUAUUAAAAUGAUAACAAGUGAAAUCAUAUUGCAAAAAAAAAAAAAAUCUUAACAUUACUUUAAAAGAACUCUUAGAAUGACAAGUAGCAUUCAACCAGUUUUAACAUCCUUCUUUAAAAUCAUGCCUCUGUGCAAUCAAGUGAAGGAUUUUUAUCUCGCCUCUUUGAUUCAUUGUGACUUUUCAGGCCUUUUUGAAUUAACAUAUACUUGAUUCUCAUUCAGAGCAUUGACAUUAUGAUUAGGCAAUAGAUUACCACUAAUAUUAGGUGUUGUUGCUUUUCUUUGAUCAAAACUUACCAUUCCAUCCUUGAUUAACCGUUGCACCUUAUGCUUUAGAGCAGUGUAAUUUUUAAUGAAAUGGCUAGUAAUUUCAUAGCGGUAGUUACAGUGAACUAUAGGAUCAUACCGCUUAGGAUAAGAUGGCUUGAGCAACUCUAUACAACUUAAAGGUAAUCAAGUGGCUGUUAUAGAGCUCCCGGUAUAACUCCGUAUAAGUCAUGAGGAUUGGAUCAAAACUGAGUUUUUCUCGAAUAGUCCGUUGCUCUCGUGAACCAUUUUUUAGGCUACUAGGAUGAAUUUAAGGUCUUGUAGGAGUUUGACUGUUUAGGCUGUAUAUGGGAGCUUAAGGGAUAAAAAUGGGCUGGUAUAUGAAUGAAUUAGGUAAUUGUGGGGCUGGUUGGUAUGGAUAAUAUGAAGUAUUGUUCACAGUAGGAUAGUAUGGAGAGUAAUCUGAGGGUGGAUAGGGUUGAUAUCCCCUGAACUAUCUAUCAAAGCUUACAGCUUGAGCUUCAAGCUCUUUAUUCUUGGGUGCCUUCUUAGUUUUUUCUCCUUUCAGCUUAUCAUUUUUAAUGACAUUCUCAAUGAUUUCGCCUUGAAAUCACCAUGUCAACGAAAUUCUUUGUGGCAUUCUUUAUCAUCUUUUCAUAAUAGAGGGAUUUCAAAGUGCUGACAAACAAUACGAUGGUCUCUUUUUCAGUCAAAGAAGGCUGUACCUGAAUAGCCAUGUUCUUCCACCUCUGGGCAUAUUCUUUGAAUAAUUCAGUUGCUUUCUUCUUCAUAUUCUAUAAAGAAAGACGAUCAGGAGACAAGUCUAUUAUAUACCAAUGUUGACUAAUGAAAAACAUGAGCCAUAUCGCUUCAAGAAUAAAUGCGAGUCCUAUUCAACUGGACAUACCAUCUAGUAGCAGAACCUGUUAGGUUAUCUUGAAAGAUGUGCAUCAAAAGCUUUUCAUUAUUGGCAUGGACAGUCAUUUUUCAACUGUAUAUAGUAAUAUAAGUUUUCAGACACCUUGUACCAUCGUAUUUCUUAAACUCUGGUACUUUAAACUUCAGAGGGAUAACCACAUCCGAGACUAAACAGAGUCCAUCAACAUUAGCAGAACCAUAAAAACCCACUCCUUCCACUACUCGUAGCCUUUUUUCUCUAACAAGUUUAUCUUUUGUUUAGCUUUUAAGGCUUCUACAAGCUCCUUCUCUUUGGGCCUCAAUUUUUUUUUAUUCUUUUAGAUCAUCCAAAUUAGGGAUUGAUAUUGGUUCUACUGUUUUUUCAGUAAAGACAGAAUUUAUAUAACUUUGGUACUAUCCUUGAUUUGAAUUUCAUGGUAUUCUAAGAUAUGUGUACCCUACAAGAUAGGUGAGCUGCUGUGAUGGUGGACCUUGUGCAGGUUAGACUUGAUGUGGCUUGAACCCAUGAGGGCACAAUGGGUCAUUCUCCUCUUGUAAUGGAUGAUCUUGUUGGCUAGCAUUCUCUUAUAUUGCCUUCCCCUUGUUUAACUUGUUCAAAGCCUUUAAAAUCUUAUUCAACUCUCCUUCUAACUUCGAGCUUUCUCUAUUCUCUCGAGACGAUUGAAAUUUUCUUGUUCCAUUAGUCUAGCUUGAGCUCUUGUAUUGUAUUGGUGAGUGAGGUUGCUUGGUGGAGCUAUCCUUGAAACUUUAGCACCAUAAUUAUUAUUAGAAAUGAUAUGCUAUGAUAUGCUUUAUGUAUGAUACGUUGAUGCACGAAUGAAAUGUACAUUUUUAUGGAUGAAAUCUAAUAUGAAAUGGAUGCAAAUGAUUAUGUUAAAACAUGAUCAUGAAAAUAAUGCAGAUGCAUAAAAUCAGACAAACAACAUAGUUAGUUUCAUAGAUGAAAUGAAAGUGAUACCGAUGCAUAAUGUUACAUAUGAUAAUGAAAAUGAUGCACAAAUUCAAACAAUCAAAAUGAUUAGAUAAACAUUUUUCUUGUGUCUUACUUUCAGGGUAUACCUAUCAUUGGGUAGAAAGGGCUCUAUCUUAGGUUUAGGCAUUUCUAAAGUUCACUAUAUGUGGUUCAAGAUUAAAGUCCAAAGGUUUCCAAAUUGCUCCUUACAUCAUUGUCCAUCACAGACUAGUAAGGCACCCUAAUCUUCACCCAUUACAAGCUACAAGCGAAAAAAAUUCAAUUUGAAUGGGAAUAUUUCGCUAGCCAUUACGAAGGCAUUAAACCUCAUGAAAGCAAUAGGUACUUUACUCCCUCUUAGAAGGAUAAAGUUCGGGUAUAGAGCUCAUGUUAUGCAUAUGCAUAUGAAUGACAUAAAUAAUAAAGUAAAUAAACAUGAAUGAAUAAAAAAUCUAUACAAAAGGUUCAAUUUUAUUAGGCUUUUGGAUAACACAUUUAUUUGUUGGCCUGACUCUCGGACUUCCCCAGUGGAGUAGUUAAGCUGUCAUAACGUCUAGAUCCGGGGAUCCAUUGCUAGGCAUUGACUUAAGGAGUCACCACCAAUCUUUUUUUAUCUAGGUGCGAUUGGCCACCUAAGGAAUCUGUCAUUUCAGGGAACACCGAAGUUUAAGGGUCUCUAAAAGAAUAAGUUCAGGUCUACUAACCAGAGCAGGGUUCAGGAGUUCGGUUACGUGUGAGGAAGGUUAUAGCACCCUCACAAUCCCAUUGAAAGAUGGUACCAGCUUAAUUUUGUGUUAUCCAAUAAGCCUUAAAAAUUUAUCAAGUAAUUAAUUAUUGGAAAUUAUUCUCAAUUGACUCUAAUACUUUUAGCAAAAAAUUAAAAAAAUCUCAUCACCUCAAGAGUAUGCAAGAAAACUACUAUCUCACUUGCAGAGGCUCUAUCGUCGGAUUAUUUAACAUUAAAAAAAAUUCAAGAAAAUAAAAAGGAAAAAGAAGAAAAAGAAUGAUUACUUUUGUACAGGAAAAAUUGAUACUUUCAACGUUUCUUCAAAAAUUCAUUUUUGUUUUAACUUUUCCUCAAAAAUAUUUUUUAGAAAAAACUUAUUUUCAAGGAAAAUUGAUACUUUCAACUUUUCCUCAAAAAUAAUUUUUAGAAAAUCUUAUUUUCAAGAAAAAUUGAUACUUUCAACUUUUCCUCAAAAAAUAUUUUUUAAAUCUUUUUAUCUUCAAGGGUCAUUUAAAAGAUGCUUGACAAAUCAAAAUUUUCUGUGAAACAGUUUAAACUUACUUGGUGUCCAACACGAUAACAAAUGAACAGCUUCCUGCAUCACAUUUGCUUACGAGAUGGUGACGGAUUUAGGUGCAUCGAUUCUUAACCUUUUGCUCCCUUUUGGCUUGUUACAUUGCUUGACUGGUUUUCCUUCUUUCACUUUCUAGUUAGCGCUCUAUCCCACAGCUUCUACCAGUGCUUGAUAGAGGACUAGUUACGUAAACACCAAGAUCGAGGAACAUCUAAUCGGGAAGUUAAGGAAUAUCCUCCCUUGUUCGAGGCAAAAAAAUAGGCGGCGGUAGUAAAUAAAGGCAGAAAAGCUGUCCUAAUCAAACUAGCCGGCAACAGGAUCGAAAUACAUAUAUAAUGUUCCAACAGAGUCACCCGUCUCCUUCUCAACAGUAAACCUAGUCACUUCAACCACUAGGCGAGGCGUAGCAUGGGCAAUCUCCUGGCAACCUUCCAGUACUGUUAUUGUUGAAGCUGCUCUAUCUACAAUCAAGUUGCUUGAAUGCAGUGCCAAAGCACUCAAAGCAUCAGCAACUGCCUUCCGCGUUGUGUUGCUAUUUUCUGUUGGUUGGUUUGUAUUGCUUGAUGAAGGAAGUGCCUCAUCUUCAUUCUUUUCUUUCUAGUGCACGAAAGGAAGGGCUAAACCUUUUUCUUGGUUAAAAGUGAUCUAUUUCCUUUAGAGUUCCUUUCGAGUGGGAGAUUUUACCUUUAAAGUUUCGGGCUAGAAGUAGUCAUCUUACUCGCCUCCGAUGCUCUAUAAAUCCUCAAUACAAAUCGAGUCUUUGACCGAGACCAACCAAUUGCUAGAUUCAAAUGGAACCAGGGUCCAUCCAGACUAGAUAAUCAGCCUCUUCAUCUGAUUCUUGAAAGUUGGAUUCUUUUUUCGAUUGAGGGAAGAUAGCAAUCACUCCAGACUGUACCGCUUCAAGCAGCAUCUUACAGCGAGCAGGUUACCGGCUUUCAUAAAGCAGCCCACGCCUUCUCGAUGCUACUCUAGGCGGUAAAGUUGCUAACAGAAGACUGAACACCUUUUGACACUACCUUUUCCCUAUCUUCUAUUCGGAUUAUUAUUCUAUAUAUUUCUUCCCCCUUGUUAUUGUUCCUUUAUUACUGUUUAUAGGAUCAGAUCAGGAGAAUUUUUGAUCAGAUCAAAGUCCUCAUUUGACUGGGUUGUCAAAAACUUAAGACUCAUCCUACCUCAUAUUAAAACAGUAACUCUACAACCUCCAAUUUUGGACCAAAGAUAUAUUUUUUUAUUUUUUAUCACUAAAUCUUGUUAAACUAAAGAUAAAUCUAAUAAAAAAGAUAAAUCAACUAAAAAAAUCAAAGAAAAAUAAAAAUAAAAAAAUAAAAAUAAAAGGCCAAUUGGGCCUGCUAGUUGGAUCUUAAAUCAGGUCCAAUGGGUUUAGACCCAAACCCUGUUAGACCAGACCCAAUGGGUUUGGGUCCGGACUAAAUAAGGUGUCUACAAUUAUCAUAUAAAUAUAUCCAUUAAUUUUUAAUUUUUAAUAGAAUAAGGUACAAAUUUAUCAUUCUACUUAUGUAAAUUGUCUAAAUUUACUAUUAAUCUUUUAAUUGGUACAAUUUUACUAUCGCAUUUCUAAUUUUGGAACAAAUUUACUACCAUACUUCUUUUUUAAAAGUAAAUUUGAUCAAAAUGUAACAGUUGAAAAAUAUUUUAUAAAAUACUUGAUUAAAAAAUUUAAAAAGUUAUUUUAAAACUCAAAAAACAAUUUAAAAAUACAAUUUUAUUGUACCACUUCUAAUGUUGAAACAAAUUUAACAUUAAACUUCCUCUUCGUAGAAAAAAACUCAUGAGUUGAUAUGUUUAGUAAAAUUAUCGUGAUGAGAGAAGAAAAAGGAAUAAAAUAAAAAGUAAAUUUUAGGUUUUAUUUUCAUGGUUUUUUUUUUUUUUUUGUGUCAAGUCAUUUUCAAUUUUUUUCUCAGUUACAAAUAAUUUCUAAUGAAAUAUUAUAUAAACAGGUAAUAAGAAAUUAAUUUCAAAAGGAACAAUAGGUAAUAAAAUUACGAGUAAUUUCCUCUGAUUGAUUAAAUUAAGAAGCAAUGGAAUCAAGUUGAAUUUUCAAUGAAAAAUAUCUGAAUGAUUUAUUCUAUUUGAUUUUAUUCAAGUAAUUAUUAAUAUGCCUUAAUUUAAUAAUAAAGAAUGUAAUUUGAUAGUUAAUAAAUUGAUUUGAUGUGAUUGAGGAUAUGAAAUAUAAUUUGAAUGAUUUGGAUAUGAUGAUUAAUUUGUUAAGCGAAUAUUUUACUAGAUUAAUAAGUUGACAAAUUUUAUGAAGUCAUAACUUGAUGAGAUUUGAAGAAAUUACAACAGUUAAUUUUAAUUAUGUUAAAAAAUAAAUAAGCCUUGAAUUGGAAACUUAAUUUUAUUUGUAAUAAACACAAUUUCUAUGCUAGAAUCAAAUAUGAGAAAUAGCCAAUGUUCUUUCACAAAAAAAAAAAAAAAAGCCAAGGUUUAAUAGUAAACAUAAUAUUGCAAUCAUUUUCCUAUAAUAUUUGAGAACUAGUAAACAUAAUAUUAUAAACAUUUCCUUAUAAAUAGCCAAUAGUCUUACCUUUUAUGUAUAAGUUACAAUUCAAUUUUUAAUUAAAAUUUAAUUUCUAAUUAUUGUUUAACUUCAAUUGCUCACAAUUAAAUUCCAUUAUUUAACUUUUAACAUUCAUUAGUGAAAAAAAAAAAAAUUCUAACAUUCACCAUUAACACUACAUAAGAAUAGAAGUAUGCUUCAUGUGUUAACAUUUAGUAAUUAAUAAUAAAAACAAAUUUAAAUUAUUAUUGGAAGACAAAUUUUCAAUUUUAAAUUCUUUUCUAACACAUGAGGAAUGAAUUAAUUUGAGUUACUUUCAAUUAAUUAAUCCAUACAAAAACACAUUUUAAAAAAUUAUUACCUAACAAUAAAAGACAUUCUUAGUUUUUGUUUAUAUAUCAUUAUUGAAUGAGAUAUGAUCCAAAAGCAUAUUUCCUUAAAUUUUAUUAUAGUUGCAUAUUGAUCUUCAAUUUUUCUUUUUUAUUACUUAUUUAACAAUAACAUAAAUUUAUAUAAGUAAUAAAUUUAUUAAUUUUAUUCUAAUUAAUUUUUUAAAUAUAUAAUUACAUAUCCAUGCAUUGCAAGGAUUUAAAACUAGUUUGUUUUAAAAUUAAAAGUGUGGUGAUAAAUGUACCUUAAAAUUAAAAGUAUAAUGGUAAAAUUACAUCAAUUGAAGAAAUAAUGAUAAAUUGAAACUAAUCGAUUAUAAGUUAUACUUGUAACUAGAUUAUGACCUAUGCGAUACAUGAAAUAAUUUUAUUUAUUUCAUAUAUAUAUACAUAUAAAUUAAUAUUUUUUUAAAAAAAUUAUACUCAUAAUUUCAAAAUUUAUAACAUAUAAAAAUUUUAUAUUUGAUUAACUUAUCAUAAAAAAAUAAAAUUUUUUAAACAAGUAAGAAAAAAUGAUAUGUUUUCACUUUGUCCCAUUUUUAUUUGCAAUAAUAUUUAUACACUUAAAAUUUAUAUCAAAUAAAAAUAAAUUACAUGUAUUUCUUAAAAGAACAAAAACAAAUAUUAUUGAAUGAUGAUUUAAAGAAUAAAAAAAGUAUAAAAAUGCUUUCACUUUUGUAAUCUUAUUCAAAUUAUUGCAUAAAAUAUGAAAAAAAUAUAUUAGGAGAGGUUUGUAGAAAAUAAAACUAAAUUAAAAAAUAUUAAUUUUUAUAAGAACAAACUUGCAACAGUAAUAUAAUAUACUUUGGAAAAGAAAGCUGGAAAUCAGAAAAUAAUUUGCAAAUUUCAAAAAACUGCAAAUCAAAAAAUAAAAAAUGAUAUAGCACAUUAUAUUUAUAAUUUAUAAUUUUUAAAAUAACUACUGGGUGACAUUUAAGAUUGAAUAGAUAAUUUUCAAAUUGAUAUUUAAAAAAAAAUUAUAAGAACAUAGUAAGUCAUAAAAAUUAAAUUAAAUUUCUUGUUUAUUUUUUAAAUAUAAAAUUGAUAGUUAGAGUUGAGAUGAAUAUACGUCCUAUUAUUUAAAGAUUUAAUAUAAAAAGAUUACUUGAAUUUUUAAUAUUUUUUUAAAAAAUUUUAAAAAGAUAAUUUUUGUUUGAUAAAAAAUAAGAUGAAAAAAAUAUACUGAGUUUUUGAAAGAUUUUAAUCUUUAUAGUUUUGAAACACAUUGAAAAAUUUUAAUAAUUAAAUAAUUUAUAAAAUGAGGUAAUAUGAUAAAAAGUUAAAAUUAUUCGGGUAAAAUCAAUAUUUAAAAUUUUUAAUUUUAAAAAUAUCACUAAAUUAAUUUAAUUUGUAAUUAUUUUGAUAUUUAAAUAAAAUCAAGAUUAUCUAAUUUGUAAUUAAAAAGAAGAUAUAAAUUUUUAAAAAAUUAUUCUACAUGUUAUUUAAAAAAAUUAUCCAUAUAAAUAUACAUGUGAUAAAUUUUAACAGAUGUAUUUGUAUAUUGAAAUAUAAUAAAAUAUAAUUUCAUAAAAAAAAAAAAACUGAGCAAACAGAGUGAAAAAAAGUGUGGAAAUUACCUAAAAAUAAUGAUAAUAUACAGAUGAAAUAGAGCCGGGUACUAAAGAAAAAAAAAAAGACCACCAAUGAAAUUGAUUGCUUGUAUCCAUGCUAUUUCUCUUCCGUCUUCGCUUCUAUGUUCCCUACUAUUUUAACUUUUCAUAUCCUUUUGUCACGGAUCGAGAGUUAAGUUUCGAACUCGCGCAAUUUCGGGAUCCGGACAUUCACCCUUUCGACGCUUCAAAUCAACCUAGCAGUCACGGUUCACACCUUUGUGAGGUAUUGUCCUUUCUGACUCCCUUGACCUCAUGGUUUUAUCCUACAAAAUGUGCCUCACAAGGCGAGGUGGAAUAAACCCUUAUAUAUCCCAGUGACUCUCUUAUUAUGUUCGAUGUGGGAUUCAUGACCCUUUCUUAGGUCUGUGACAUUCUCCCACACCCAAUCUUGUGACGUCCUGGUCAUGGAGGCUGACCACUCUGUCUGCCUCUCUUGAGACGUUUGGCGUAGAUCGAACAGUUUAGGGUUGGCUUUGAUAUCACUUGUCAUGGGUCGAUACUUAAGCUUUGAAUUCGCGCGGCUCCGGAACCCAAACAUUCACCCUUCCGACGUCACAGAUCAGCUUACUUGCCACGAUUUACACCCUUGUGAGGUAUUAUCCGCUCUGACCUCCCUAACCUCAUGAGUUUGUCCUACAAAAGGCACCUCACAAGGCGGAGGUGGUGUGAAUCCUUAUAUAUCCCAGUGACUCUUUUAUUAUAUUCGAUGUGAAAUUUAUGACUUUUCUUUAGAUCCGUGACACUUUGUUAGUAUUUUCUCUUUCUCUUUUAUUUAUUUCUCUAAAACACUUUUUUUGACCACCCAAAUUAAUAUAUAUCAAGAUUAACAUGGAGAAUAAUUACAAGUUAUAUUUAGCGGUGGCUUGAAAAAGGUAUAUUUAAAUUUGAAUGAAAACUUUUAAGUGAAGUUCAUAUAAAUUUUUAUUAAAAAUGAUUAAAUAGAUUGAAGGUCUUAGUAUAUAAAUUAUGCACAAAAAAUUUGAAAAAUAUUUAAUAAAUUUUGAUAUAUUUUUUAGAUAUGCAUUUUGAAUAACAAUUGUAAUAGAAUUUUUAUCGUUGAUAUUUAUUAAAUUUGAAUUAUAAAUAAUAUUUUUAAUAUUUUUUUAUAUAUUAUUAAUUUUCAUAUUGAAUUUUAUUAAAUUAUCAAUUUAAAUUUUUUAUUAAAUCAUUUUCAAAAAAAUUUUCACAAAUUUCAUAUAAAUAAUUUUAUCUAAGUUCUGCCCUUAGUAUUGAUAUGAAAAAAUAUUGUGAAUAAUUAAAACAUCUAAAAAUUAUGUAUAAAAUAAUAAAAAUAUUAAAAUAUUAGAUAAUAUAAUAAUUUUUUAUCUUGAAAAUAUUUUUCAUCGUAAAAGUAUUUCUUGAUGAAUUUUUUUAUUUGAAUUUGCAAAUCAAAUUUUUAGACCGAAAAGCUACAUUUUUUAUUGUUUAACAUUAAAAUUAAAUUGAAAGCUCUUUUUAACAUAAAAACUAUUUUCAGCCAUAAUACUAAACUAAAUCUUAAAUCAAACAACGGACCAGAGUUAGCUCAAUUAGUCGUAAGGAUACGCAUUUCAUUGGAAAAAUAAAAUAAAAUUUAGUUCUCGUUGUCAACAAUUUUCAUCGGCUAGUUAUCAGUUAUUACUUUGAAACGGGAUAUCACCGAACUUUAAUGUACGGACAACUGGUGUGAUAUUUUGUAUGAUUGGUCAGAAAUUUCCGUUGACGUUUCUUUGUUUUUGCUUUCCGCGUUCCGUGUCUUCGUAAGAGUCUAAAAUUUCUUGGGUUUAUUAUAAUUAUUGUAAUCAUAAUAAUUUAAUUCGUAAAUUAAUUUUCAGUCUCCAUUUCUAAAAGCUUCUACUCGACGCUUUUAUUAAACCGAACAUCUGAAGUCUGACCUUUCCAAGUCUGGUGGCUCUGUUCAAAGGGUUUACCGUCUCUCUCAAGAAAGCUUGAAAAAAAAGUAUUAAAUCCAACAAUUCCGUCAACAUAAACACAAGCAAAUAAGUUCCAUUAUAUAUAUUCGCAGAGACUUUGGGUUUAGUUUCUAAUACAAGUAUUGAUUGUCAACAUGGCUGAAGUGAAGCUGAUAGCCUCUUCACUUAGCCUUUUCUGCACAAGGAUUGAAUGGGCUUUGAAGCUUAAAGGUGUGGAAUAUGAGUACAUUGAAGAAGAUUUAAGAAACAAGAGUCCUCUUCUUCUUAACUACAAUCCUGUCCAUAAGAAAGUUCCAGUACUUGUUUACAACGGCAAACCGAUUGCUGAGUCACUCAUCGUUCUUGAAUACAUUGAGGAGACAUGGAAGGACAGUCCCUUGCUCCCUGAAGAUCCAUAUGAGAAAGCAAUGGCUCGGUUUUGGGCAAAAUUUGCCGAUGAAUAGGUACUUCAUCUUCGACACCGUGUCACAGCCAUUUAAUUUCAUUCUAGUUUUAAGUGGUGACAGUCUGUCUUUGUUUUGGUUUCUUAAAUACAGUGCUUGUUGGGUGCAUUUGAUGCUUGCCGUGCAGAAGGAGAUGAAAAGGAAAAAGCCAUAGAAACUGCAAUAGAGUCCUUUUCGUUUCUUGAGAUGCAGAUUGGAAGGACGAAAUACUUUGGUGGGGAACAUAUAGGCUAUCUGGAUCUUGCGCUUGGUUGGAUCCCUCAUUGGCUCAAUGUUAUGGAGGAAGUUGGAUGCAUGAAGCUGGUUGACGCUCAGAGGUUCCCACUGCUUCAUCGAUGGGCAGAAGACUUCAUCAAAACUCCAGUGAUCAAAGAAUGCCUUCCACCUAGACAAAAACUGGUUGAGCACUUCACUUCUAGCAUCAAUUACCUGCGUUCCUUGGCAACAAGCAAGCAAUAAAUUCAUUUUCCAUUCGAGCUUUUCUCCAUGGCCAAGAAAUAAAUGGAGAUAUCUCCUAUUUUGAACCCAAAAAAAAUUAUAAAAAAAAAAAAAAAAGUAAAUAAUUGGGAGAUGUUUUUGUUUUCAGUUGUGUUUGAAAGUAAGUUUUUCAAUAUGUCAUCUAUGGCUACCGGAUUGGGGUGAACCCCUGUUUGAUGUAUCCAAUAGAGUUGUCAUUUAGUGCAUUCAGUUCAUAAAAUCGUGUUGUUGCUGAUUUUAGUUUUUAAGUUAGAUCCCUUACUAUUACUUCAUCGCAGAAGAACCAUUUUUGAUUCAGUAUUUUCUUGAGUAGCAUUUUACUUUGAGCCUAGGAAACAGAGGAUGCAGAAAAGAAAUGCAAUAUAGACUAGUUUUUUUUUUUCCUGGAAAAUGAAAUUAGAAAAUAAAAAAAAACAUUUGUAAUAGAAGUUCAUUCUCUGAGAUCAAUGUCACCGGCACCAAAAUGCUGUUCCUCCGCUACUGCCUCAAGGCUCGCGCAACUGCUAUUUCCUCAUCAAUAUAAAACCAGAUAAAGAAGGGAUCCUUGGUGAUUGGUGCUAGAAUUGGUGGAAAGUUCACCUAGUCAUUAACAUAAUUUUAAUAAAAACUAAAACUGAAGUGAAUGUGGGUGAAAGUUCAAUCCAGCUAAACCGAGGUCCACGGAAAUGAAGUCACUGUCUUGUGCUUGCCAAUGACACCUUCCGAGCUCCGAAUGGUGAUUUGCACAAAAAGAUAGGAGACAGAAUUGCUCUCUACCUCAAAAACUAAAAUUAUGAAAUUUAAUGGGCUGGCCUCAUAUACAUAGAAGUGAAAGUAAGGAUCUUCCUUAAUAUGUUAAUCAAAAUUGACCUAUCCCAUUAGAGGUUCAAAUACAGAAUUAUAUCAAGCUCACACAUAACAAAUAUCAUAUUACCAUUUUGGGUAUAUUAGAACAUGAAACCACAACAAUUACUCAUUUGUUGACAUCAAUUACAGUAAUCCAAUAUAUAAUGACUUUGUUAGUCCACUAAUAAGAGAUAAAUACAAUAAUUUCUCCCUUGGACAACACAAAUCAUUAAAAGUGAAUUCUAAUUAACAGAAUGGCUAUAAACAGAAAAUGUCAAUAUGAGUAUAUACCCAAAUUUUCACACAACAAAAUGAGCAUUUAUAAGCCCCAGAAUACAUUGUAUCGACUAGGUAUUAAUGUGUGGACUUACAUGCCCUUUACAAUAAGAAAGUAUUUAUAAAUCUCAAAAUGCACUGUAUCAACAAGACACUUGUAUGUAGACUUAUGAAUACUUCAACAAUAGCAACAAUCAUUUAUGAGUUUCAAAAUGCACUGUGCCGACAAGAUACGUGCACAUAAACUAAUAAACACUUCAAAAAACAUAGUAUGAUAGUGUGAAAUGGAAAUGAAAUGAAAACACAAUCGAUAUCCAUUUCCAUUAGGUUCAUGUAUCUAUACCAUAUGAUGCUGCUUUGAAAGAAACACAUGAGAUUAAUCCUAAAUGUUUCACCCAAUGGAAUACCAAAAUUAAGAGAAUGUGCAGAAACAGAACAAAUAUAUGGCAAAUAGGAAUCCAUCCAUAUAAUUGCAACUAAUUUUAUUUAGGACUGAGCAUUAUUGGGUUUAAACUGAAUAACUGAAUAAAACCACUAAAAAAAGUAAAUAAGGUUAGUUUUGGCAGUCGAU
rnacentral:lncRNA from 1 species